rnacentral:lncRNA from 1 species
GUGUGGAGGGUCGAAAAAUAGAAAAAAAGUUGAAAACCGUAUAUACACCAAUGAUGACGAGUGCUGGAGUUGGAUGCAUCGACGGCCGCUGCCAUAUUGUUUCAGUCGCGUGAUGCGUUUUGUGUCAUCGCGUGAUCAACAUGAUGACUCGUCGUUCCCCAGGCUUGUUCGGGUUGGACGAGGGCCUUCUGCACACGGAGUGUGUCGUCAUAGACGUGGCAUCGUUUGCUUGCGGUGUCACAUGUUUUCGGGUGCAUGUCUGUGCGCGAAGCGGCAGCGUGGCGUGUUCGUCAUACUUCCCAGGCUUCGUGGUGCCGGCCGUACCGUGCUGUCGUUUGCUGGCCGUAUGAGGCUGGGCUUGAUUGUGCAC